CAAAAUGCUUAAAGUUCAAAAGCAAUAACAACAACAAAACAACUUUGGAAACUGAUUGGCCCAAUUAGCAUAGCUAUAUUGAUUAAAUUCACUCAGUAAUUCCAAAUAACCUGAUUGUACACAGUAGCAAGCAUUUGUAGACAAACAUCUUAAAAACUCAAAAGGUUAAAAUAGAGUUUUCAAAGAGGGAGGAAUGGUGAGUAUCCAACAUAUCAGAAAUAUUCCCCAUAAAAGAGUGGUUUCUUACUGUGGUCUAACCUGUUUAAGAGAAUAAAAUCAGCCACAGCUAUUCUCAUUUUAAAAGACAUGAGCUUAGUUGCUUAAUGCUCAUUACUCUAUAUAGAAAUCCAUUUCUCUCUUUGCUGUCUCUUUAGGAAACCUUUUUUAAUAAUGCUCAGUAAAUUAGGCCUCCAUAGACUUGGCUUUAUCCCACCCUGCCAGUUUCUUUUCCUUUUUGUAUCUCUGUAAAAUAUCUGCUUAGAGUCUCUGAUUUGAAAUGUUAAUUAAGGUGGGCCUGGCCUCAGGUUACAGUGUACAUUCCUUUUUACAUGCAAAGGAGAUAUGCUAACUAGGUUACUAAGAAUCUGGGGGCCAAGAGGGAGUCUUCCAGAAGACAACAAAAGUCCAUGAAGAAUGGGGCACUUCCCAGCAACUCUCAGGAAGCAAUCGCUGGAAUUCAGCUGAACUGAUAUCCCAUUACUCCUGCUACUCCAGAAGAUCUCUUUAAACCUGCCAAAGAUGUGUUUUGUUUUCAAGAUUUUGAGGCUUAAUCAGUAACAAGCUACAUGUUGUCUGAGGAUUUGAUUUUUAUUGUGUGACUCAUGCCGAGGAAACAUCUCUCUCAUUUCCUAAGAGUGGGGACUAAGUGUAACAAGAAGAAAA